rnacentral:rRNA from 1 species
GACGAACGCUGGCGGCGUGCCUAAUACAUGCAAGUAGAACGCUGACUACUUUAGCUUGCUAGAGUAGAAGGAGUUGCGAACGGGUGAGUAACGCGUAGGUAACCUGCCUACUAGCGGGGGAUAACUAUUGGAAACGAUAGCUAAUACCGCAUGAAGCAGUUGAGUCGCAUGGCUCUGACUGCCAAAGAUUUAUCGCUCUGAGAUGGCCUCGCGUCUGAUUAGCUAGUAGGCGGGGUAACGGCCCACCUAGGCGACGAUCAGUAGCCGGACUGAGAGGUUGACCGGCCACAUUGGGACUGAGACACGGCCCAG